GCCUAAUUUACUUCCAAGUUCUUAGCCCUCAUUACUUCCCAAGAAGCACGUCACCUGGAUUUAUCAUCACCAGAAGAGCUGCAUCAGUAACUCAGAAGACUGAGGAAUGCAAUUACUGGCACAGGACCAUCACCAACAUCAGAUAGGGUGAAGAGGCUGGGCUUCCCACCUGGGCAAGAGCCUGGGGCAGGCACAGCUCCCUGUCACCUAAGACAGUGAGGGCUGCUCAGGAGAGGAUGGCACGACUGCCAGAGCCUGAGAUCAGGUAAGACCAGGUGUCUUCAGGGCAGUUAAAAGUGCUGACAGAAAGAUGAGCCAAAGGGACUGCGAGGUGUUCAGUGAAGGAGUAAGAAGUUGUCAUGGAGAACUGAACCCACAGCACCAAUUGGAACUGGCUGCUAUCACCACACAUGCCUUACAGAGAGGAGCAGAGCACUACUGAGGACACUGCUGGUUUGGAAUCUCUGCUGAAAAACUACUCUUAAAAUCUCCAGAUUGGUUAUUAUAAAAAUAUUUAAAAUUUCUUAGCAUCACUCAAUUCAUUAGGAGGGCAACAAAAAGGAAGCAAAUACUCACUUUCCCUUCAAGAAAAAGCAUGCCAUGUGGCUGCUUAGAGAACCUUGCAUAUCCAAACAUCAGAGUACUGGCUUUUGAAGGACAUGGAUAACACACUGCACAGUUUAAGAACACAGAACUUCAGACCAGAGUACAAAAGUUUACGCAGAAAUGUUUUGAAGACGUCAGACAGACACACCAAAAGAAUGGAACAGCCCAUGCUUUGCAGAUCUACAGAAUUAGACACCUUACUGCUAUCAGAACUGGGCAAAAGAGUGCACAAAUCAGUGCUGAAUGAAGAAACAUCCCUGCCUGAAAAAGCCCUCUAAUUCGGUUUAUUUUCAGCUGAUCAGUUCUCUGCUCAUGUAUACCAUGCUGUUAUUUCUGCUAUCACAAGAGGAGGGAACAUGAAUUAGUACAGCACAUUCAUCCAUAGAGAUCUGUGGAGGUAAGAUUUCUAGAUUUUGCAAACAGACAAGAAACACUGGUGCUCCUGAGCAGCACAUUACAAUAGGAAUGAGGAAUUUCCCCCUUGUCUAUAAUAAGUUCAUUGCUACUCUGCUCCAUUAAAAACAAUUCCUAGAAAUAGUUAAACAAAAAACUUGUAUUUUUCUUUCUGCUGAUAGAGACAGUGAAAGACCUAAAAGAUGAACAAAUACACAAUCAAAGGAAAUGGGAAAAAAAAAAAAGAGGACCUAUUUGGUCUGCAACCUGGGAUAACUAAUAUUGUUAUACUAGGAAAGAAAAUGACUGAAAGCUUCAGGUGCUCAUAAAGUUUUUAGUUAAAAUGGUCCCAAGAACACCAGUAAAUCUUCACUGUCCAAAGACCAGUCACAUUGCUGUACCCUACUGCAUUGGCUCCUGUCAUCAUUUCAUCACUAAGACUAAAAAACUUUUUUUAAAAUCUGAAUUUAAAAUCUAUUUCCAGAGGUGCUCCAAAAAAAAAUAUUGUAGGAAUAAGUGUGGCAAAAGCAGAAGCAACUGCAACCCAGCCUUUCCCUGCUGCCAGGUAAGAUGCCAAACUGUCCUCUAGCCAGGAACUGUUUCUCAACUGCAUUAGUUACAAUAAGGAAUAAUUAACUCAUAGUUCUCCAUUUAUAAUAAACAGAGACACACACUUCCAAGAAACAAGUUAAGAAAGAUGACUGGGAAAACUUUUUAUUGAUGCUUAAAUACUCAUCUUCACAAAAACUAGCUUCAAUCUAAGACAUACUUGGAACCUGGGAUUUCAGGAGUCACGCAUACUAAGAGGUAUUGUUGAUUUGAGAUUAAACCUGUUAAAACACCUCCAGUCAAAUAAAAGAAAAGCAAUUUAAUCACAGGCACACUCAGCUAAUCCAGCCCUUCACAAAUGUCUGACCACCUCAAAGGGCAACACUUGGAUUUUGCUGGGGGAGAAACCUUAAGCAGAAAACUCCUCUGGGCUCCUCAGUAGAAAAACACAUCACUCCAUCCUAUACACCCACUUAACUACCAUCAACAGAGCAAACCAGGCCUACAAAUUCUCUCCCCGAAGCUACUUCAGGUGAAUCAUGAGCUUUAAAGGCUAUUUUAUCUUCCAACAACUCUGGAUGCCAUUAUGUGUGAGUGCUGAAGUAUAGGGAGAGAUCAGUCAUGGCUCGACUUCCCAGCGCUGCAGAACUCCAUGUACAUCCCAGGGAGGAGGAGGUGGAACAGAGGGCGAUCAGAGGAGAACAAACUGUGCAGGACUACUUGAGGAAACAGUCACAUCUUUCUAUUCUCAGAAAAUCCUCUCACAGC